CUCACCAGGUCAGGACACGGUAAGGAUUGACGGACUGAAGGCUCUUUCUCGAUUCCGUGGAAAGUGGUGCAUGGCCGUUUUUGGUUGGUGGAUCGAUCCGUCUGGUUAAUUCCGUUAACGAACGAGACCUCGGCACUCCGAAUAGCGCGGCGGACGUCGCGGCCUCCGGGCCGUCUUCCGCACGAGCUUCUUAGAGGGGACCGUCCCCCCGCCGGGGAAGGAGGUGCGAGGCAACGACAGGUCUGUGAUGCCCUUAGAUGUUCUGGGCCGCACGCGCAUUACACUGACGCGUCCAACGGGUGACUCCCGACCCGAAGGGGCCGGGGAAUCCGCAAGGCGCGUCGUGAUGGGGAUUGAACGUUGCAAUUGUUGUUCACGAACGAGGAAUUCCUAGUAGGCGCGGGUCAUCAACCCGCGCCGAUUACGUCCCUGCCCUUUGUACACACCGCC
rnacentral:rRNA from 1 species